GCAUAUCAAUAAGCGGAGGAAAAGAAAAUAACAAUGAUUCCCUCAGUAACGGCGAGCGAAGAGGGAUAAGCUCAAAUUUUAAAUCUGUUGGGUUUCACCUAACAGAGUUGUAUUUUGAAGAAACGUUUUCUGCGUCCAGGAUUAGCCUAAAUCCUUUGGGAUAGGGUAUCAUGGAGGGUGAGAAUCCCGUUCAUGGUUAAUCUUAAGGAUGCUCUACGAUACGUUCUCCAAGAGUCGAGUUGUUUGGGAUUGCAGCUCAAAAUGGGAGGUAAAUUUCUCCUAAGGCUAAAUAUUGGCGAGAGACCGAUAGCGAACAAGUACCGUGAGGGAAAGAUGAAAAGAACUUUGAAAAGAGAGUUAAACAGUACGUGAAAUUGUUGAAAGGGAAACGAUUGAAGUCAGUCAUACUAACGGGAAAUCAACCUCUUGAGUUUGGUCUCGUGGGUUUCGAAGAGUAGUUUUAAAAGCCUUCGGAUUUUCGAGAUUGGGCUCUUCUGGUGUACUUUCUCGUACGGUUAGUCAACAUCGGUUUUGAAUGUCAUAAAAUGACUGGAGGAAUGUGGCUUCGAUCUCGUAUUGAAGUGUUAUAGCCUUUGGUAGAUGUGAUGUUUGAGACCGAGGAUUGCAACGGAUACCCUUCUGGGCUAUUCGUCUGAUCUCUGAAACGUUGCCUUGAUGUCGAAAGCUUGCUUAUGAUGUUAGGGUAUUACGGUCAAAAGGUUAGAACGGAUUAAAUUCGUUAAGGAUGUUGACGUAAUGGCUUUAAACGAC
rnacentral:rRNA from 1 species